UCCGUAAACAGACGCCAUGUUUGAGCGUUGCCAUCUUUCCCAUUCAUAUCUAAACCACUGACCGUCUACCCGCUUAUAACGCCUCCUCCGCUCGGACAGUGGUGGAGGAGCAGAGCCCAGAGCUGAAUUACUGAAGAAAUAAAGUUUUCACGUCUUCUCCCGCACUUCCCUACCCAUCUUAAAUGUGCUUCCGUAAACAUGUCGGAACAUUCUACCAAAGGGAUUAUUAAGCUGCUGAAACAGGUUAAGUAUAAGAAGAAACCAUCCAGAAGACGUUUUAGUACUCAGCAAACAUCAGCUGGAGACCCCCACGUGAACACAUCUGAUAUACAGACACAGGAACACAUCGAGGAGAGAACUCACUACUGUUUGGAGUGUGGGAAGAGUUUUACUCAUGAGAGUCAUCUCAUAUCACACCAGUGCAUUCACACCGAAGAGAAGCCAUAUCCAUGCUCAGAGUGCGGAAAGAGUUUUACUGAACAGAGUGAUCUUGUAUCACACCAGUGCAUUCGCAUAGUAGUUAAGCGGUAUCCGUGCUCAGAGUGUGGGAAGAGUUUUAAUCAUCCGAGUCAGCUCAAAAUACACCAGCGCAUUCACACAGGAGAGAAGCCGUAUCACUGCUUGGAGUGUGGAAAGAGUUUUACUCAUCAGAGUCAUCUCCAACAACACCAGCUCAUUCACACAGGAGAGAAGCCGUAUCACUGCUCAGACUGUGGGAAGAGUUUUAAUCAUCUGAGUAACCUCAAACAACACCAGCUCAUCCACACAGGAGAGAAGCCGUAUCACUGCUCGGAGUGUGGGAAGAGUUUCACUGUACAGAGUAACCUCCAACGACACCAGCUCAUUCACACAGGAGAGAAGCUGUAUCACUGCUCGGAGUGUGGGAAGAGUUUUACUGCACAGAGCAAUUUCCAACGACACCUGCUCAUUCACACAGGAGAGAAACCGUAUCACUGCUCAGAGUGUGGGAAGAGUUUUAAUCAUCAGGGUAAUCUCCAAGAGCACCAGCGCAUUCACACGGGAGAGAAGCCGUUUCACUGCUCAGAGUGUGGGAAGAGUUUCAGGCAUUCAAAAACUGUGAAGACACACAAGUGCACUAAGAGCAGUGAUGGAAAUGGGCAGUAAUGAGUGUACCCUUAACACAUACUGGGAGUAAAAGUCUCCAGGGAACAGUGCUUCCAGCUCAGAUUUCAAAAUGUUUCUAGGGAAAACCACCUAUUGCUGUUUUACUUUGUUUUAAAAACAAGAUCAUAAAAUGAAAUCUAUUUUUCUGAGCAGAACACAGUCAAGCCUACAGCUCAAACACCCGCUGAAAAGAGUGUUGUUGGGACUGUAAUAAAGGAGAUAUGACCCUGGAGACUGCAACAGCGAGGUUUAUUCUGUCUUGCAUUCAACUGAGCAGCUUUUAAAGAAGACAAAGGAAUAAGAAUGACUGCAAGACAUCAAGCUAUCCAGGGGGGGAACCAGUGACCUCUCCUCAGUAUGGCACAUGCAUUCCUGUUCUAAGCGAUGUUGCAUACAGUCCAGAUAACAACUCAUCCAUGGACUUUUUCUAUUACUGUUUUCAAACACUUUUAAGGACUGUUCAUGUUCUUUGUGAUGCUUGGAGAGUGAAUGUACCUUGAGAAAGGUGUUGUGACAUGAGAUAAGGACCUUUAUACCCAUCUCCAAUCUCCAAAGCAGUCUGAACUGGGUAUCUCAAUCAUUGUAGAUGUGUAUGAAAGGUGACCAGUUGGGAAGUUCAAGGUUUUGAGUCUCACUGAGAAUGACUCUUGUUGAUGUUGUUACGAUGUGCAUAAGACACUAUCUUUGUUGACUGAAUCUCAAUCCAGUGACACAGUUUUGUUCCUGAACCAAUCCAAGCCUACAUUAUAAUAGCUUCGAUUUGUAGUGAUGAAUCGAGAUGUGUAUGCAAUUCUGUAUGUAGAGUCUCAUUUUCACAUAUGCAUAAAGGUAUGACUACUGUGACAAAGUCUAUGUUAGGUGAGGAAGAGACCUGCAGGUACUCUCAACCUCCACCGUACUAUUUUAUUUUCUGUCUUGCUCACUUUCUGUCGCUUUCUAUCUAUCCAUCUACGUUAUAUGGAGAAAGGUUUUGGGACACCCACACAUUACACCUCCAGGAACUUUUAUGAUGCCCAUUGUAAAUUCUAAAUAGACAUUAAUAUGGAGUUGGUUCCCCUUUGCAGCUCUAACAGCUUCCAUUCUUCUGUGAAGCUUUCUACAAACUGUUGGAGAGAGUCUGUGGGAAUUUGUGUCCAUUCAUCCAGAAGAGCAUUUGUGAGGUCAGACACUGAUGGUGGACGAGAGGGCCUGGCUCACAAUCUCCAUUCUAGUUCAUUCUAGUGUUUGAUGGGGUUGAGGUCAAGGCUCUGUGAGGGCCAGUUAAGUUCUUCCACACCAAACUCACCCACCCAGUCAUCCUGGAAUUGAAAAGAGUUCCCCAAACUCUUCCACCUGUUGGAAGCGUACAAUUGUCCAAAAUUUCUUAGUAUGCUUUAUUUGAACUAAGGGGCAAACCCCUUAAAAACAACCCCAUAGCAUUAGUUAGGCAGGUAAAGUUCUCAUGGCCCAGAAUUGCCCAUCAGACAGCCAGAUAGUGAAGCGUGAUUCAUCACUCCACAGAAUGCGUUUCCACUGCUCCAGGGGCAGCGUGCUUUACAUCACUUAGUGUGGCUGAAACAUCUGAACUCAAUAAUUAGGAGGAGUGUCCCAAUACUUUUGUCUAUAUAUUUAUGUCUCUCUCCCUCUUGCUCUCUCCCCCCUCUUAGUUUUAGGUGCCUGAUUUCUCUCUUACAGCAUGUGUCUUAGUGAAGCCUUUGCGUCUGAGCUUGUGUUUUUGUGAAUGUAAAGCUGUUUAGAUUAUUUUUCUACACUUUCUCAAUAUUUAUUCUUUAAGUAAUAUUUAUGUUUCUGUAAACCUGUUUUUCUUUUGAAAGUCAGUGUGUGGUUUUUAGUUUUUAGGGUAUUUCACAUAGAAUGGGUGUUUUUUAGUUCUGAACUUUGAUCUUAGUCAUGCUGUGGUAAAUUGCCCAGCAUUAGCCAAGCUCUACUUUGCAGUUCAUUUUGGUGAAGACUGCACCUGGCACAGUCACCCAUGACACUGUGUUCAGUUAUGUUCCUGAACCAGUCUGCAUUGUAAUAGUUUUGAUUUCUAACGGUAAUUGUAUUGUAUAUGUAGAUUGUCUAAUUUACAUAUAAUGUGCAUAAGAUAUAAUUACUUUGACCAAGUCUGUGUUAAGUGAAGAAGACACCAUUCAGAGUGCUCUCAACCCCCACCACACUUUCUCUCUCUUCUUCUUAUUUUCAGCCUGGUAUUUUCUUUCUUUAGGCUUUUGUUUAGUCAAGUCCUUGCUUUUGAGGUAAUGUAUGAUGUCAUAUGUGUUAAAUAGUUGAGAUUAUUUGUUUCAUUUUUCUCCAUUUAUAUCAUUUUAAUCAUAUUCCUUUUUAUUUUUCCUGUAAAUGUGUAA